AUCUUUGUGCUUGGGGCAAUGACGCAACUAAUGAGGCACUUACUAAUCGAGGCGCGUCUAUUGCUGAUUGAAAACUAUUUCUAAACCUCUUCUUUCAUCCCUUGCCUUCGAAAAUUUCUGGAAGGGCUCCCUUUGGAGUAAAGCC